rnacentral:rRNA from 1 species
AUACGGAGGGUGCAAGCGUUGUCCGGAUUUAUUGGGUUUAAAGGGUGCGUAGGUGGUUUUUUAAGUCAGUGGUGAAAGCCUACAGCUUAACUGUAGAGGUGCCAUUGAAACUGGAAGACUUGAGUAUGGACGAGGUAGGCGGAAUUUGUGGUGUAGCGGUGAAAUGCAUAGAUACCACAAAGAACACCGAUAGCGAAGGCAGCUUACUAGGCCAUAACUGACACUGAGGCACGAAAGCGUGGGGAGCGAACAGGAUUAGAAACCCCGGUAGUCC